GCUUGCCACUGCUGCUGUUAUUUCUUUUCAUGUGUCUUGACACAAAAGGUCAAAAAAAUUACCUGAGCUGUUGUGAAGAGCUGAAAAUGGCCAGGGCUUGAGUUGUAUAGCUUGUACAAACUACGUGUUUUCAGGUUUUUCUUGUGAAAAACAGAGCCUGGAAUUUGGCAGCUUUGCUUGCAGAGAGAUAAAAGUCACUGCUGACCUUCAGCACCAUUGCCUUUAGGAUUUAUGCUUUUGGCAGAUCUGUAGCUGAAUGCUGGUGCAGCCUGGACCAUUGGUAAUGAAGAUUUAACAGUCUUCAGCAACUUAAUAUUGGUGAUAUUAUAGGAAUUAUAGCAAGGGAUUGGAACACAGUCACACAGCAUAAGGAAACAGGCACUUGUCUGUUAUAUCAGCCACACUGUGAAACUUGCACUGAUCUUUUCAGUUUUUAGAAUCAUAGAGUAAUUUAGGUUGGAGGGCACUUCUGGAGGUCAUCUGGGUCAACCUCUUGGCCAGAGCAGUGGUGACUUUAGAAGUAGGUAUAAUUUUUCAGGGUUGUGCCCAAUAAAAUUUUGAGCAUUUCCAGGGGUGAGCAUUCAACAACUUCUCUGGUUUCCCAUUUGGUUUUGUAGCAUCUUCAGUGCAAAAUUCACUUGCUGUAACGUGCCUGUUGCCAGAGUCUGGCUCUGUAUUGUCUCUAAUCAUCCAUUAGGUAGUUGGAGACUGCAGCUCCAGCAGCCUUGGUUUCCAAGCUGAACAAAUCCAGCUCAGCCUCCCUUGAGCCAUGGCAUGAGCUGCAGCCUCCUGACAGUCUUGGCGGUCCUUGGGAGCCUAAAACUGGAUGUGUUACUCCAGGUACAGCUUAAAAGUGUUGAAUAGAGGGGGAAAUUAUUUCCUUUAACCUGCUGCUCAUACUUUGGCUGUGCAGCCUCCUACAGGGCUGGCCUGUGUAGCUGCAAGUACUGCUGACUCCUUUUCAUUCUGGCUAAUGUUAGGUCAGGAUCUUCUCAGAUGCAGGACUUAAACUUUCCAUCAGCACAUCACUUCAGCCAGGAAAGAUCCAACUGAAUGGGAGUUCCCUCCUCCUGUGUUUGGGCUCUGCUGCUCCAGUCCUCUGCCAGCACUGUUUGAUGCCAUCUGAGUUGCUCUGUACCACUCCUGGGUGGGUUGUCCAUCCACUCCCCCAAGUUUGUUUUUGCUGUAAGUCAGGGUGAACACCCACUGCUGUCCCCUUGUCCAUAGAGUUCAUCACAGAAGGCAGCCAGGUUGGGCUGGGGUUAGAGUGGUGACUGUUCCCUUAUCUGAACACCUGGUGGAGAAGUGCAGUCACUGCCUGAUGCUGAAGAAC
rnacentral:lncRNA from 1 species